rnacentral:rRNA from 1 species
GACGUAGGUGGCGAACGUUAUCCGGAAUUACUGGGCGUAAAGCGUGCGCAGGCGGCUUUGCAAGACAGAUGUGAAAUCCCCGGGCUCAACCUGGGAACUGCAUUUGUGACUGCAUGGCUAGAGUACGGUAGAGGGGGAUGGAAUUCCGCGUGUAGCAGUGAAAUGCGUAGAUAUGCGGAGGAACACCGAUGGCGAAGGCAAUCCGCUGGACCUGUACUGACGCUCAUGCACGAAAGCGUGGGGAGCAAACAGG